AACACGUGGGCAAUCUGCCCUGCACUCUGGGACAAGCCCUGGAAACGGGGUCUAAUACCGGAUAUGACCGCUGACCGCAUGGUUGGUGGUGGAAAGCUCCGGCGGUGCAGGAUGAGCCCGCGGCCUAUCAGCUUGUUGGUGGGGUGAUGGCCUACCAAGGCGACGACGGGUAGCCGGCCUGAGAGGGCGACCGGCCACACUGGGACUGAGACACGGCCCAGACUCCUACGGGAGGCAGCAGUGGGGAAUAUUGCACAAUGGGCGAAAGCCUGAUGCAGCGACGCCGCGUGAGGGAUGACGGCCUUCGGGUUGUAAACCUCUUUCAGCAGGGAAGAAGCGAGAGUGACGGUACCUGCAGAAGAAGCGCCGGCUAACUACGUGCCAGCAGCCGCGGUAAUACGUAGGGCGCAAGCGUUGUCCGGAAUUAUUGGGCGUAAAGAGCUCGUAGGCGGCUUGUCGCGUCGGAUGUGAAAGCCCGGGGCUUAACCCCGGGUCUGCAUUCGAUACGGGCAGGCUAGAGUUCGGUAGGGGAGAUCGGAAUUCCUGGUGUAGCGGUGAAAUGCGCAGAUAUCAGGAGGAACACCGGUGGCGAAGGCGGAUCUCUGGGCCGAUACUGACGCUGAGGAGCGAAAGCGUGGGGAGCGAACAGGAUUAGAUACCCUGGUAGUCCACGCCGUAAACGUUGGGAACUAGGUGUGGGCGACAUUCCACGUCGUCCGUGCCGCAGCUAACGCAUUAAGUUCCCCGCCUGGGGAGUACGGCCGCAAGGCUAAAACUCAAAGGAAUUGACGGGGGCCCGC
rnacentral:rRNA from 1 species